GCUGGGUGUGGUGGCGCGCGCCUGUAAUCCCAGCUACUCAGGAGGCUGAGGCAGGAGAAUUGCUUGAACCCAGGAGGCAGAAGUUGCAGUGAGCUGAGAUCAGCCACUACACUCCAGCCUGGGCAACAGAGCGAGACUCCGUCUCAA
ensembl:misc_RNA Metazoa_SRP Metazoan signal recognition particle RNA